rnacentral:lncRNA from 1 species
AAGAGACUUGUUUUGUAUUUGCUGCAAAAUGGUGCUUUUUACUGAAUGUUGUAUGUAAUAAGAAAAGAUCUCAUUACAGAUGUGGAUAGACUAUGACAGACAUUGGAAUGCCUUGCCAAUUAAUAUCUUGUAGGAUGGAAAAUUGCUUAAAAUUUAAUAAAAAAAUAAGAUUGAUAGGCCUUCAAUAUCUUAAUUGCAACAAGGAUUAUUGGGGACUCACGAAUAGAAGUUGCUGCCAAAAUAAUAAAGGCCAUUUGGAAAAAGUUUUCUCUUUUUUCCUUUACAGAUACUCAGGACUCAAAUACCAUUCCAAAAGUUGAUCCCAUUGUUUUAGAAACAAAGAAACUUCAAGACUAAUGAAACAAAUUUUUUGAUUUAAAUGUUAUUUUUAAAGAUGUUUUCAUUUAGCUGAAUUAUAAUGAAGAGCUCAAACUAAAGGCAUUAUUUAAAUUUGGAAGCAAAGCAUG